UUUUUUUUUUCUUUUUCUUCUUUUGUGACAGAGUCUCACUCUGUGGUUCAUGCUGGAUUGCACUGGUGCAAUCUCAGCUCACUGCACCCUCUGCUUCCUGGGUUCAAGCAAUUCUCCUGCCUCAGCCUAUGUGCUAAGUGCUUAGAUGUACAUGUGGUAUAACUUAGCAUUCAUGACAUUAAUUUCUACAGUUUUCUGCCAGUGACUAUCUGUCACAUGUAGUAAGGCUGUGUCACCAUGCCCAGCUAAUUUUUGUAAUUUUUGUCUUUUUUGUAGAGACAGGGUUUCACCAUUUGCCCAGGCUGGUCUCGAACUCCUGGGUUCAAGCGAUCCACUCACCUUGGCCUCCCAAAGUGCUGGGAUUACAGGCGUGAGCCAUCACACUCCUUCGUUUUUUGCAUUGUUAUUCCUCACAAUUGUUUCUUUUUCUCUUGGUCUUUCUCAGUUUAGUGCACAGUAAACUUUUCCUCAAACUUUGCAAAAAGCAGGGCACCCACCAGGCUGCAUCUCCUCAUGGGGGCCGGGGUGGGGGUAAGUUUUUGCCCUUGUCCCUUGUCUUUUCUCCAUGUCUCAGGAGCAGCCACCUUCCAAGGGGCCUCCACUUGACCUCUCUGGCUUCUCCAGGUAUCCCCCAAACCUCUACAGCAAAAUGAGCUCAUCUCUGUGUUUUGAACUGGAAAAGAACAAUUAUUCCUUGCCUUCCUUAUUCUUCCUCUGACUCCAAACAACCAGAAGAAACCCAUACAAUUUUUAAAAAACAAAUAACAAUCUGCAUAAACAAGGUAUAACAGCAACUGAAAUGUCAACAUCUUAGAACUUUCAGUGCAUGAUCUGCCAGUCUGGGAAAUCCACAUGAUGUAAUACUAGGUCUAUGCUGCAAUUUCUACCCAGUGAAGAGCCGUUUGGGGUAGGCACAAAAUAAAAGUUGCCAUUUUAACAAAAAGUAAAGG
rnacentral:lncRNA from 1 species